AACCCGGUUCUAUUAAGAGCCACCAAAUUACACUAAAAUAAUUAA
rnacentral:ncRNA from 1 species